AGUUAUAAAUACUACUUUUUCUCCUCUAUGUCAGUUUUUUUUUAUUCUACUUCAUCCUUUUGUCAUCCCCCUCUAGUGCUCCCCUCUAUUCUCUCUUUUUUUUUCCUUUCUCCUCCUCCAUUGUGCCGCAGGCUUUACUGCCCACCAUUAUGCUGCCUAUUGUUCAUUUUAUCCUCUCAUUUGUUUACUUAUUUUUCCUACUCAUUUUUCUAUUUUUAUUUAAGUCAAACCUUGCUACCAUUUUUGCUCUUCAUUUCCGCACCUUGUCUAUUUUUCUAGAUUGUCAGUUUUCUUAUUGCUCACUACUCGCUCUUUUUCUUCACUGGUUAUUGUCGCCACUUUGGCCGAAUCCUACUUGGCCUUCAUUGAUGUGCAAUCGUUGACUGCUAUCAUCAUUUCAUCACAAAUCUGAAUCGAGUGAUGAGACAUUAUUUUAAUGCCUCAGAUUAGUAGUAGAAAAAAAGGGUGUACCGCAUCUCUUGUUUAACUGUAAUAGAGUAAGUAUCACUAUUGGAAAUCAAAACCUAUCAGCUAUUGUAAAUCUCUAUUAUGGCCGAACCCUAUAGGGUUGUUUUAAGUUGGUCCUAACUUGUGUUUAUUCAUGAUAUGUACAAAUCUAAUCGAGUUCUAGUUGGAUCUGAGUUUUAAAAGCUGCGGUUUAAAGUUAGUGCUUCAGAUUUACGUGUAACAGGCGAGCAUAGGAGAGCGAAAGGAACGAGAAACGGACCAAAAACAGAGAAAAUGGGCCAACUUAUGAAAUCAAUACGGCCUGGACUUCCUCACACGGGCAGACCACACGGCCGUGUCAAUUUGGAAGAAUCGAAGCACGACUCACACGGGUAUAACACACGCCUGUGCCAUUCUAAUAGACUCGAGCACAGCCUGAAGUAAUCACACAUGGGUAUGUCCCUACUGAGCUCAAGUUUAGUCCAACUAGGAAAAGGCUAAUUUUGAGGGUUCUUAGGCAUUCCAAAGCCUAUAAAUACACCCUAGAGGAGGAGGAAAAAGGGAUACAGAGGAGAAGGCAGAGAAAUGCUCAAGGAAAGCCGAUUGAUCCAUCUCAGAAGCCGGUUUCAUCAUCAAGACUAAAGAUCUCCCCUCAAUUUCCCUUCAGGAGUUUUGGGUUUUCUUUAUGUUUUGUAUUGAUUAUUCUUUUGAGAUGUUUUACUUUUUAGCUGUGAACUAAAUCCCUUAAAUAUCUUAGGGGAAUAAAACGUAAGACGAAUCUUAUUAUUAUUUUCUGAAUUGUAUUAUAAAUAUUUGACUUGUUCUUAA